UCCUUCCAGAAAUGCCUUCACAAUCCAACGAUUACACUUCAUAUCGAUCGGAAAUUGAAAAAAAAACAAUUAGGAAAAAGCAAAACACUUCAUUUUAAAUUCGACAUUAACAUAUUUGUGAAAUUGUUUCAAACUCUUACCUCCACACAAAAGUUGUCGUUUCGUGCUGCUAACUCUUUGUCCUCCAUCGAAUCUUUGCUCCGCCUUGAAUUUGGACCAACCUUCCUGUGAGACAUCCUUAGGAUCUCUUUUGCUUCACAAACUUAAUAAGACCAUUUAGAUUUAAGAAAAAUAGACAAUAAAUUAGAUUAACUAC